rfam:Camelus ferus unplaced genomic scaffold scaffold1984, whole genome shotgun sequence.
GAGGGUAUAGCUCAGUGGUAGAGGGCAUGCCUAGCAUGCAUGAGGUCCUGGGCUCAAUCCUGGGUACCUCCA